GAGAGAGAGUGAUGCUAAACACUCCCUGUGAUUGUUAUGGAAAUCCAUUUCUCUGCAUGCUGUUGUCAUGGCAGCUUCAGAUCAAGAAAACACAUGUCAGGUUGACCAAAGGAAAUUAAGAGAAAGAAAAAGAUACAACGCAUACAGAUGUAGAUGGAAGAGCUGGUUGUUCAGCAUAAAGCGAAUGGGGAAAAUAAGUGUUGGAAGAUGGACCUUUUCUCUAGAGAACUUUGCAGACUGGUUUGGAGGAAACCGGGACAUCAUGAAUUACCACUGCUGCAUCCAGAGAUGAAACAGCCAUGAGGAGGUCCAACCUCUGAUGGAAGAAAAUACAGAGUUACCAUGCAGCAAUGACUCUGAAUCAAUGCGAUUUGCUCUUGUAAAUGUAUUGAAUCAAUGAGAUGAACUUCUGUUGCUCUACUCUAGUCAAAACCAACAAUUAUGAUGGCCUACAAAAGGACCCUCUCCACUAAUAGAAGACUUCCAUUAAAGAUGAAGCUUUGGGGUUCCUGGUCCUCUACUCCUUACUAUGAUACCAAUUUAGGCAUCCAUGAAUAACACAACAAAUCUCAGAGUAUAUCUUAAUCUUUGGUUUUUCCAUCAUGCAACAUGGACACUACGGCCACAUGUUUUAGCUUCCAUAAGAGAGUCCUCUGUUUGAAGGGCUGGUUGGUGAAUAGUCUUGAACGUAUCCUCUAUUUGAAAGUCAGGUUGAAGAGAAAGAGCACUAAAAACAGGAGAGGAGAAGGGGUCUCAUGACAAGUUGGCUCCUGGGCCACAGAAUAAGGGCCACUGAUUUGCCAAGUCCACUAUCCCCAUCUAGAAUGGAGAAUGUCUAGCCCUCUAGUUACUGGGCUUCACUUUCCUUCAUUCCUCAGUGUUACCUCUGUUGGCUAGGGCAGAUGGAAGUAACCGCCCAGCGGUAUCUGAAGAGCGCCAUGUUGCCCAUCCUUGGUCUACUCCAACUGGUCAUUCCUCGGGUGACCUGUCUGAGAACAUUUUAAUACAAUGUUGGAGAAUGUGAGGUUCUCUGGUCGCUCUUGGUCUUCGAAUCUCAUCAGCCCCAGAAAUUAUGAUCCAUAUCAGGCACGACUGAAAUUGUAGUCCAGCCAUGUUUGGAAAGCUGUAUGGUUUGGGGUCUUCUUGUACUGUGUCAUGGGUAAUGAUAAUACUGAAUGUAUUCGCGAAGGCUUUCACGGCCGGGAUCUAAUGGUUGUUGUGGGUUUUUCGUGCUCUUUGGCCAUGUUCUGAAGGUUUUGCCAGUCUCUAUGGCCGGCAUCUUCAGAGGACAG
rnacentral:lncRNA from 1 species